GACGAACGCUGGCGGCGCGCUUAACACAUGCAAGUCGAACGGAAAGGCCUGCUUUCCCUUGUGGAUUGCGGGUACUCGAGUGGCGAACGGGUGAGUAACACGUGAGUGAUCUGCCCCCAACUUGGGUAUAAGCCUGGGAAACUGGGUCUAAUUCCCGAUAGGACUGCAGGGUGGUGCCUGUGGUGGAAAACGAUUUUCUAGUGGUUGGGGAUGCGCUCGCGGCCUAUCAGCUUGUUGGUGGGGUAAUGGCCUACCAAGGCGGCGACGGGUAGCCGGCCUGAGAGGGUGGACGGCCACAGUGGGACUGGGAUACGGCCCAGACUCCUACGGGAGGCAGCAGGGGGGAAUAUUGCACAAGGGGCGGAAGCCUGAUGCAGCGACGCCGCGUGGGGGAUGACGGCCUUCGGGUUGUAAACUCCUUUCGACCGCGAGGAAGCCACCUGGUUGGAAGGGUGGUGACGGUAGUGGUAGAAGAAGCACCGGCUAACUACGUG
rnacentral:rRNA from 1 species